CUACUAAUCCACUGCUCCUGGUGGCCAUUUCCCCCAUUGAAUUAGUUGGGACAGAGAGAAAUUGAGAGAGGAAAGGGAGAAGGAGAGGGAGAGAGUAAGAGGGACACCUGUGAAGCAUCACCCCUGCAGGUGGGGAGGGGGGGCUUGAACCUGGAUCCUUGCACAGGUCCUUGCACUUAGUACUAUUUGUGCUUAACUGAGUGUGCCACCCUCCCCAAUGAUUUCUUCUUACCUACUACCUUUAAUGAUCUCCCUGUAUUUUAUGUUUGUUUGUAAGCGUCAGGACUCAAACACAUUAUCCAAAUUUGAAAGCAAGCUUGAAGGACAAGAAUGGAAGCUAUUGUUUCUUUAUUUUUUAAUUUUUUAAUAUUUAUUUAUUUAUUUUCCCUUUUGUUGCCCUUGUUGUUUUAUUGUUGUAGUUAUUAUUGUUGUUGGACAGGACAGAGAGAAAUGGAGAGAGGAGGGGAAGACAGAGAGGGGGAGAGAAAGACAGACACCUGCAGACCUGCUUCACCGCCUGGGAAGCGACUCCCCUGCAGGUGGGGAGCCGGGGGCUCGAACCGGGAUCCUUGUGUAGGUCCUUGUGCUUUGUGCCACCUGCGCUUAACCCGGUGUGCUACAGCCCGACUCCCGGAAGCUAUUAUUUCUAAACAGAAGUGAUUACAUUAUACAGAAGGGUCCCUCAGGAGAUUAAACCUUGUCCCCUAGGUCUCAUGCAGGGGGAAGAAUAGUCCAUGAGACAUUGAUGGAAACACAGAAAUUAAAUUAUUAACCGAGCUCCAUCCUGGAUAUGAAAUAUAAAGUUACCUUUAAGGUUCCCGCUCAUGCCUCUGCGUCUCUGGAGUCCUCCUCUCUGUUUCAUGCCUUGUGAUGAACAUACCCUGAUGCACUCAGAAGUCUGAUGCAGUGCCAUCUAGAAAUACGCCCCAAGCUUCCUGAUGUUCAUCCUCUGCAGAAGGUGAAUGCUACCAUGAUGCCAACCAGGCUUCCCUGGACAGACGACCCCACCAAUGUGUCCUGGAGCCCCGCUUCCCCAGAGCCCUGCCCCACUAGGGAAAGAGAGAGACAGGCUUGGAGUGUGGACCCACCUGUCAACACCCAUGUUCAGUGGGGAAGCAAUGACAGAAGCCAGACCUUCCACCUUCUGCUCCCACAAUGACCCUGGGUCCAUACUCCCAGAGGGAUAAAGAAUGGGAAAGCUGUCAG